UCAAGAAAGAAAGGCCUUUCCAGUUUCAGGGAAGAGUCUGGUAAAGAAGGCUCCCAUCCUUGUACUAGACUGAAGCAAUCACAGUCCUUUGUGGCAAGCAGGCCUAUCGGCGACAGGCAACCUAGUACAGGAAGAGGCUCUACUCAAGCCACAACUCAGAAGGCACUAGAACAACACACGCUGGACACCUGAGCCCCUCAUACAGGCCAGGUGUGUGCACUGAAGAUCUUUAUGCCACAGCAUCACAGUCAUUUGUCCCAUUUGGAUCUCGGGUCAGAUAUGCCUGUCCGAGGCCCUCAGAAAUGGCCUCCGGAUUUCCUAACUCCAGGCAGUGGAGUACAAAGCCUGAUUUUUCCAAUGCACCAAACAGCUUCUAAUCUAACGCCUGCUCUUCCUGGGCCAACUGGACACAACUUCAAAAGCAUGACUCCAGCGCAUGGAAAAACUUGUGCAGUGACACAAAGAGAGCUGAUGGUCUGAGACGCCCUCCAAGGAACAGGGAGAGACCAACUCCGUGAAUGUAACGACAGAAUAGAAGGACGGUAAAAGAGGAAAAGCAGGCCACCAUAAAGAGAGACAGUGAUGGAGUAAACCCAAGGAUGUAUAAGCAUGAAAGCAAUGGCAGCCCAAGAGAGGAUCAGAACAGGAGCCUAGACUGAAGGCUGGCGGGAAACAGGAGGUGUUUCAUCAACAGAAGAACAUAUUCGGGAUCUGUGCACAGACUCCCUGCAGGAAAAGCUGUGAGUUCUGCAUCACAGGACAGACUUAUGCCAAACUAAGAACUAUUUAAUCAAAGUAGGAGAGCUACAGACUGUAAGCCUGUCCACUCCUAAGACAGCUGACCCCGUGACAGAACAACAGCCCACUGUUCCCAUCCCUCACCAGAGAGUCUGAGCCAUCAAGAUAAGUCCACAAUAGGUGGGCAAAGCUGAGAGCCCUAUCACCCACUGGACCACAGCACGUGCUUGCUCUGUCAACACAAGGGGACCCCUAUUCCACAUGAUUCCCAUUCUCAUGCUAUAUGUUCACAGCCGCCCGACAGCACUUUUCUCUGGUCUGCAUUCUCCUUGAGACCCUGCAGACUGCAUGCCAGAGGAAGUCUACCAGAGAAACGCCACAAUCAGACAGGGGCAAAAGCAUCAACAUCAGUGACCGUGGAAAGCAGCUACAAGGGUAUAGGGACCUGCCUGUCCAUCCGCGGCCAAUAGCCAGCAAGAUACCAAGCCAUGGUCUUCAGCACUUUCUCAUUCCAUUUUUCUGGAGAAACGGACCUGAUGUUUAAGAGGGAGAUCCAGCUGGUUCUCCCCAGGAGGUGGGGCUCUCUGGCAAAGACCGACAUCAUAACAUGCUAAGACGAGCUUCGAAUGUCAUGUGAGACACCAGUGGUCAUUGUUUAACACACAGCAAUUCUCAAUUUGCAGAAGAAUUACCAUGCUCUUGCACGCCUCGUUGUUUGAUUUAUGCUAGGGACAGGACCCAAGCUCUCUCACAUGCUACGCCACGCUCCUCCACUGAGGGAUCAUGCAAACCACCACCGUGCUUUAUACAAGGCUCUGCCAGGGUACGCCCACUGUGAGGAGUGAAGGAGGUGAGUUACAGCUUCUCAGGUACCUGGUCAGUCUUUACAGUGGGACAUGAAGUUUGCUAUAUUCAUCAUAAACCGCAGAGACACUCCAGUAUCAGACCCCAGCCAAAUUGGAUCUCUGUGGAGACAUGGUCUACAUAUCUCCCUCCACCCCAACUAGUACUAGAAGCUACCAUGCUUAGAGGGGAAAGGAUAUGGCACACAUUCAGCUGAGUGGCUGGAGACUCAGCUCAUGCACCCUUAGGCGGCCUCCACGAGCAUACAGAUCACUACCCACCCGCCCAGCAGAUCUCUACUUUCUCCAAGCAGAAAAACAGCAACAGAGGAGAACUGCCUAUCAACGGUUGAGCAAUAGUCCAAAGAAUUCCAGAAGGUGACGUGUAUGAUUUGGGUUUGGGUGUUUUUGUUCAGGGAAAAGUGAACCAGCUGUACCAUCCUGUCUCUUUUGAGGUAAAGCUACACCACAACACAUCCAAAGAUAGCCCGGUGAUUGUAUGUUUGCAAGGAAGUGCUACACACCCAUGAAACCCCUGUGGGUGGAGAAGACCAUGUACCGAGUGAGUGAUCGUGGCCGCCGGGUACCCAAGGAAGGGAAAUACAGCCCAGGGCCACCAAGGUCAGUCUGACGGUUAGGAGGGACUCCUGUCCAGUCCUCUGUGCUGCCAACAGGGCCGCCUGUCAGAUGUACCCACGUAACGAUCUGGAAAUGGCAAUUAGGACAAGUGUUAAUUCACGAUCACAAAGGGAUAAUGAUCAGAGACCUCACCGAGUCUGUGGUCUGUCACCAGCAUGCACACCUCUGAGAACAAAAGAGCUUGGAGGUAUGGCCAUCAGUGCUCUCUGCUACACAAAACCCUGAGGGGACCUGGCCCUCACUGGUUUCCAGACGACAUGAGCAGAUUCUGAGAAUGAGGAUUAGUAAUUUGGCAGCCCCAAACCCAAGUCUGGAAGGACCUUAUAGGCACCUGUGAGAGAUGAAGGAGGGGCCUGCUCUGAAGGCCACCAGCAGCCCAACUGUUCCUUCUGUGCCACAGGGCCCCAGUGAGGCAGAGUGCUGCCCAAGCCCUUUAAUGGGAGGCGAUGCCAGAUAUCACGUCCUCCGUAUUGUGCUAAAGGUCACCUCUGUGGACACUGACAGGGAAAGAACCUCCUAGCAUUUACAAGGAACCACAUGAAAAUGUUUCAUAGGGCCUGGCGAUGCGGAAAGGACCACAAAUUCAAGGCCUAUCCUAGGCAAAUUAGAGAGACCCUGUCUCAAUAAAAAAGCAAGAGAGCUGGGGGUGUAACUCAGCAUACAGUGCUCGCCUAACACACACAAGGCCUUCCGUCCAGGCCCGGUAUCCCCUCCCUGCCCCAGAAAAAAGAACACUUUUGUGAUUAUUUAUUUUCCUAAAUCAACGCCUCUCCCUAUCCUUUCUUGGGCCAGGGGAUGUGGCUUCUUUCAAAAGGCCCGCCUCCUCUUAAAGCAGAAGAUCAAAGUCUCCCAGGUAAGGCCCGCCUCCUCCUAAAGCAGAAGAUCAAAGUCUCCCAGGUGCAAAGAAUGUCGAGCACGAGCAAUGUCUUCAGCUCUCCCACAUCUGAGGCACGGGCUUUGCCACUAAAUCAAGGGAAGGCAGCGGGCUCUGCUCCCACCUCAGCUGAGGGGGUCAACUGAAGGGAACAAAGAGCAAGAGCUUUGCUGCCUGCUUCUGGGGCCUCCGCACAGACAGAACAAUGAGGCUGAGUUUUACGCCAUGACGUCACCAGUCGCCAAUCACCACAGACGAGGCGGAGCAGGUUUUGUCUGUGAGCAGCGCUAAGGCUGUCAGAAGGCAAAGGGCAGUGCAGGAGGCAGCCAGUGAGUGACAUCUUUCCCACUGCACCUUGCCAGGCAAAGAGCCAGCGUUUCAGGGAAGCUGUUGACUAUCACUGGAGCUCCUGUGCGCAGGGAUGCAGGGCGCCCACAGUGAUGGAAGGAAGAAGGCUGGACAAGAACAGGCUUCUCGUAACAGCUACAUGGAUAUCACAGCACUGUACACCUCUGUGCUCCCAAAACUUUCUAUUCACAAUAUAUGUGACACGCCAUCAAAUAAAAAUGUCCUACUUAUA